UAGAAAUACGUCGAAAUGUUCAUACGGCGAUUUUCCUAGCACGGCAGAGCUGUCCUUCGGUAGGUAGUAAAACCGAAUAACAAUAAAAAUUCUCUGAUUUGCCGCAUGCAGGGCUGAGUUCAUCCACAAGGUAAAAGUCUCCUCUGGCAAAGUUUGCGUUUGGAUUCCAGUUAACACACUUAAUUGUAUUUUUUUCUCUUUCACGAUAUUACCGAGAACGUCGGUAUCCUUUGGAGAUCGACACGGACACGGACAUCGACACAGUCCUCGAGAACCAUGAUUGUUCCGACACAGAAAAACAUGUUUGGCCGACCAACGGACUCGAGGACCUCCAUCACCUCCAGUCCCUACGCUCAACGAAAUCAAUCGAGGCGACAUUCCAAUAAUUCAUGAUUGUGAUGAUAACUUGCUCAUUAAAACCAUAAACGAUCUAAUCCAAGUGGUGAAAAGACUUCGUGAGGAGCUUGAGUCCCAGCGACGAGAAACACAAAGUCUCCGUGAUAUCCUGGAGCGGUGUGACUUCUGCAGACCAGGUUAGCGAUGACCAGCGGCCGAUGGACCAAGGCGGACAAACUCCUCCUUUUUGUAAAUUUUGUUACCAGAGUAACAAAUAACCUUCUCAUGACUCUAUUGCUUAGUAGUAGAAAACCAUAGCGUUCAUUUCUAGUCCUCAGAUAUCAGAUAUCUAUUUAUUUUAGUCCUGUUCGAGGUGGCGUCACAUGCCGAAACCUGUAUGCUCCUCAUUCUCGUGUGUCAUCAUUCUGAAAAAAUUUUUUGACUGACCAGUCACGUUCCAUAGAUCAUGAGAUGUUUGCUUUUCAAUCCAAACAAAAUCCUGGUUGCCUCUGGUUGUGUAAGAAAAAAGGCGAAGUAAGCAAAUGUGUUCAAAU
rnacentral:lncRNA from 1 species